CGUAGGGUGCAAGCGUUAAUCGGAAUUACUGGGCGUAAAGCGUGCGCAGGCGGUCCGCUAAGACAGAUGUGAAAUCCCCGGGCUUAACCUGGGAACUGCAUUUGUGACUGGCGGGCUAGAGUAUGGCAGAGGGGGUAGAAUUCCACGUGUAGCAGUGAAAUGCGUAGAGAUGUGGAGGAAUACCGAUGGCGAAGGCAGCCCCCUGGGCCAAUACUGACGCUCAUGCACGAAAGCGUGGGAGCAAACAGGAUU
rnacentral:rRNA from 1 species